UACGUAGGGGGGCAAGCGUUGUCCGGAUUUUAUUGGGCGUAAAAGAGCGUGUAGGCGGCCAGGUAGGUGGGGUUGUGAAAAACUGGAGGCUCAACCUUCAGACGUCGACCCCAAAACCCCCCCUGGCUAGAGUCCGGAAGAGGGAGAGUGGAAUUCCACGUGUAGCAGUGAAAUGCGUAGAGAUGUGGAGGAACACCGAUGGCGAAGGCAGCCCCUGGGUCAAGACUGACGCUCAUGCACGAAAGCGUGGGGAGCAAACAGG
rnacentral:rRNA from 1 species